UACGUAGGGCGCAAGCGUUGUCCGGAAUUAUUGGGCGUAAAGAGCUCGUAGGCGGCUUGUCACGUCGGUUGUGAAAGCCCGGGCUUAACCCGGGUCUGCAGUCGAUACGGGCUAGCUAGAGGAUGGAGAGGAGCGCGGAAUUCCGGUGUAGCGGUGAAAUGCGUAGAGAUCGGGAGGAACAUCAGUGGCGAAGGCGGCCAUCUGGAUCAACACUGACGCUGAGGCACGAAAGCGUGGGGAGCAAACAGG
rnacentral:rRNA from 1 species